AUUGAACGCUGGCGGCAGGCUUAACACAUGCAAGUCGAGCGGGGAAAGGUAGCUUGCUACCGGACCUAGCGGCGGACGGGUGAGUAAUGCUUAGGAAUCUGCCUAUUAGUGGGGGACAACAUCGCGAAAGGGAUGCUAAUACCGCAUACGUCCUACGGGAGAAAGCAGGGGAUCUUCGGACCUUGCGCUAAUAGAUGAGCCUCAGUCGGAUUAGCUAGUUGGUGGGGUAAAGGCCUACCAAGGCGACGAUCUGUAGCGGGUCUGAGAGGAUGAUCCGCCACACUGGGACUGAGACACGGCCCAGACUCCUACGGGAGGCAGCAGUGGGGAAUAUUGGACAAUGGGGGGAACCCUGAUCCAGCCAUGCCGCGUGUGUGAAGAAGGCCUUAUGGUUGUAAAGCACUUUAAGCGAGGAGGAGGCUACUUUAGUUAAUACCUAGAGAUAGUGGACGUUACUCGCAGAAUAAGCACCGGCUAACUCUGUGCCAGCAGCCGCCGUAAUAC
rnacentral:rRNA from 1 species